rnacentral:rRNA from 1 species
GGUUACUGCUAUCGGUGUUCGCUUAAGCCAUGCGAGUCAUAUGUUCUUCGGAACAUGGCGUACUGCUCAGUAACACGUGGAUAACCUGCCCUUGGGUCCGGCAUAACCCCGGGAAACUGGGGAUAAUACCGGAUAACGCAUAUAUGCUGGAAUUCUUUAUGCGUGAAAUGGAUUCGUCUGCCCAAGGAUGGGUCUGCAGCCUAUCAGGUAGUAGUGGGUGUAAUGUACCUACUAGCCGACGACGGGUACGGGUUGUGAGAGCAAGAGCCCGGAGAUGGAUUCUGAGACAUGAAUCCAGGCCCUACGGGGCGCAGCAGGCGCGAAAACUUUACAAUGCGGGAAACCGUGAUAAGGGGACACCGAGUGCCAGCAUCAUAUGCUGGCUGUCCGGGUGUGUAAAAUACACCUGUUAGCAAGGGCCGGGCAAGACCGGUGCCAGCCGCCGCGGUAACACCGGCGGCCCGAGUGGUGAUCGUGAUUAUUGGGCCUAAAGGGUCCGUAGCCGGCUUGGUCAGUCCUCCGGGAAAUCUGACGGCUUAACCGUUAGGCUUUCGGGGGAUACUGCCAGACUUGGAACCGGGAGAGGUAAGAGGUACUACAGGGGUAGGAGUGAAAUCUUGUAAUCCCUGUGGGACCACCUGUGGCGAAGGCGUCUUACCAGAACGGGUUCGACGGUGAGGGACGAAAGCUGGGGGCACGAACCGGAUUAGAUACCCGGGUAGUCCCAGCCGUAAACGAUGCUCGCUAGGUGUCAGGCAUGGCGCGACCGUGUCUGGUGCCACAGGGAAGCCGUGAAGCGAGCCACCUGGGAAGUACGGCCGCAAGGCUGAAACUUAA